rnacentral:lncRNA from 1 species
ACUGCACUGAAGAAUUCGAUGCAAUCCAUUCUGAUAAGGCCAAGAAAAUGCUCGAGGAUUAUCGAAUUGGAGAGCUAGUCGAUUCGACAGCUUAUACAACUGAUUCCAAUGCAUCCUCCCCGAACAAUUCAGUGCAUGGUGCAUCCAAUAUGUCACAAACACCUUUAGCUCCAAUCAAGGAAAUUACACCUACUCCAGCAAGAAAUGUUGCCCUUGUUCCACGAGAAAAAAUCGCAUGCAAGCUGGUGAAGAAAGAGUCACUUUCACAUGAUGUGCGUCUCUUUCGAUUUGCAUUACCAUCCGAUGAUCAAGUGUUAGGGUUACCAGUUGGGAAACACAUUUUUCUGUGUGCUACUAUUGAUGAAAAGCUAUGCAUGCGAGCUUAUACGCCAACUAGCACCAUUGAUGUGGUGGGGUACUUUGAUCUUGUGAUCAAGGUUUACUUCAAGGGCGUUCAUCCAAAGUUUCCUAAUGGAGGGCUCAUGUCUCAGCAUCUGGACUCACUACAGCUCGGGUCUGUAAUAGACGUGAAGGGUCCUUUGGGUCAUAUCGAGUAUGCUGGGCGUGGCAAUUUCAUGGUUCAUGGCAAACCCAAAUUCGCCAAGAAGCUAACCAUGUUGGCAGGAGGAACAGGAAUAACACCAAUUUAUCAAGUAAUUCAAGCUAUUCUGAAAGAUCCAGAAGACGAUACAGAGAUGUAUGUGGUGUACGCUAAUCGUACGGAAGAUGAUAUUUUGUUAAGAGAAGAGCUUGAUUCCUGGGCAAAAGAGCAUCAUGAAAGAUUAAAGGUAUGGUAUGUUGUCCAAGAAUCUAUCAAGGAAGGGUGGCAAUAUAGUGUUGGGUUCAUCACAGAAAAUAUCUUGAGGGAGCAUGUUCCCGAAGGAUCAGAUGAUACUCUUGCUUUGGCUUGUGGACCUCCACCUAUGAUUCAGUUUGCUGUCCAGCCAAAUUUAGAGAAGAUGAACUAUGAUAUCAAGAAUUCAUUGCUAGUAUUCUAGAGGACGAGAAGGAGAUGAUCAAGAAAAAUUCUU